rnacentral:rRNA from 1 species
GUAACGCGUGAGUAACCUGCCUUUCAGAGGGGGAUAACGUUCUGAAAAGAACGCUAAUACCGCAUGAGACUACAGAGCUGCAUGGCUCAGUGGUCAAAGGAGCAAUCCGCUGAAAGAUGGACUCGCGUCCGAUUAGAUAGUAGGCGGGGUAACGGCCCACCUAGUCGACGAUCGGUAGCCGGACUGAGAGGUUGAACGGCCACAUUGGGACUGAGACACGGCCCAGACUCCUACGGGAGGCAGCAUG